AUGGAUACUACAAUGGUGAAUUUGUGGACUUUGAGCAGCUUGUGCGCCGGUUGGAGAUAAUCAAUGAAAGCCUUGAACUCAUUCAGGUUGUGAAGGACUUGGAGGACUUCUGAAAGAAAUGUCAAAGAACCAACCAGGAGCUGGAGAAAUUCAAAGAUCUGUUGCUGAAAUCAGAGUCUGGGCAGAGCGCUCUGGACAUUAAGCUGAAGCAUGCCUAUAAUCAAAUGGAUGUGGAGAUCAAACGGAGACAGCGAGCUGAGGCAAAAUGUGCAAAGCUGGAACAGCACAUUCACCUGAUUCGAGAUAUACUCAUGUGUGACACAUCUGGCAGUAUUCAGCUAAGCGAGGAACAAAAAUCAGCUCUGGCUUUUCUCAAUGGAGGCCAAGCAUCCAGUGGCAACGCUGGGAACAAUAGACUGUCAAAGAUUGGUGAAUCUGGUUCCAUUUUAUCAGGUAUCAGCUUUGACAAGACUAAUGAAUCACUGGACUGGAAUUCUUCUUUGGUGAAGAAUUUCAAAAUGAAGAAAUGAGAAAAGAGGAGCUUCAACAGUAGAAAGCUCAUCGACCGCCCUCCUGGCCCUGUGAAGAAACGUGUUCCAUUGGCUCUAGUAGACCAGGCAAAUGAAUCAAUACUUACAAGAACUACAGUGACUGUUCCCAGUGAUGGUGGACCCGUUGAAGCUGUGUUUACUAUGGAGACAUUCUCAUCCUGGACCAGGACCUUUACAACCUGUGAACAGUGACUCCUCUCUGAACAGCAGGCCACUGGAGCCAAGAACUGAAACAAACAAUUUGGGCAGACCUCAGAAUAAUGGAGGCAUGCGCUUGCAUGACUUUGUUUCAAAGACAGUUAUUAAACCUAAUUCUUGUGUUGCAUGUGAAAAGCAGGUCAAGUUUGGCAAGCUGUCUCAGAAGUGUCAAGACUGUCGUUUGGUCUCUCAUCCAGAAUGUCGGGACUGAUGCCCCUUUCCCUGCAUUUCCCUGCAGUGGGAACUCCGGUUAAGAUUGGAGAGGGGAUGCUGGCAGAUUUUGUUCUCAAAUGAUCCCUGCUAUUGUUGUCAGCUGUGUGAAUGAGAUUGAGCAGCGAGGCCUGACUGAGGUUUGCUUAUACAGGAUCUCAGGCUGUGACUGGACAGUAAAAGAACUGAAAGAGAAAUUCCUUAAAGUGAAAACUGUGCUCCUCCUCUGCAAAGUGGAUGAUAUCCAUGCCAUCUGCAGCCUCCUGAAAGAUUUCCUUCAAAACCUCAGAAAACACCUUCUGGCCUUUUUGGCUGAGCAAAGCCUUCAUCGAGUCAACAGAGAUAACAGAUGAAGACAACAGCUCAGCCGCCAUGUAUCAGGCUAUCUGUGAGCUGCCCCAGGCCAACAGGGACAUGGUAGCCUUCCUCAUGAUCUACCUACAGAAAGUGGCUCAGAGUCUGAACAAUAAGAUAGAUAUUGCCAAUCUAGCUAAAGUCUUUGGCCUUACAAUAGUUGCCUAUUCUGUGCCUAAUCCAGAUCCAGUGACAAUGUUCCGGGACAUCAAACAUCAGCUCAAGGUUGUAGAGUGCCUGCUCUCUCUGCCCCUGGAGUACUGGAAUCAGUUCAUGAUGGUGGACCAAGAGAACAUUGACAGUCAGUGUGGCAGUGGAAACUCAACACCAGGGACACCAGACAUUAAAGUGAGCUUAUUGGGAGUGACCACUCCUGAAUUCCAGCUUGUCAAGACUCCUUUAUCAAGUUUCCUGUCACAGAGAUUGUACAACCUCUCCAGGAGCACAACCAGAUUUGGGAACAAGAGCAAAUUUGCCACCAAUUUAGGUCAACAGGGAAAAUUUUUCCCUUCUCCAUACCUCAAGUAA